GAUGAACGCUGGCGGCGUGCUUAAUACAUGCAAGUCGAACGGAGAUUGUAGCAAUACAUUCUUAGUGGCGAACGGGUGAGUAACGCGUUGGUGACCUGCCCCGAAGCGUGGGAUAACAGCUCGAAAGGGCUGCUAAUACCGCAUGAGGUCUUGGAAGUUAGAGGGACCGAGACGAAAGGAGCAAUCCGCUUUGGGAGGGGCCUGCGUCCCAUCAGCUAGUUGGUAGGGUAAAAGCCUACCAAGGCGAAGACGGGUAGGGGGCCUGAGAGGGUGACCCCCCACACUGGCACUGAAACACGGGCCAGACACCUACGGGAGGCUG
rnacentral:rRNA from 1 species